CCCCACUGCUAUCGGGAUGGGACUAAGACAUGCUAGUCGUGCGCUUCCAAGCCACGGUGGAAGCGCGGCGUACAGCUCAGUAGCACGUGGCUAACCUGCCCUUGGGACGGAAAUAACCCCGGGAAACUGGGGCUAAUUUCCGAUAGGUGAAGAUUCCUGGAAUGGGUCUUCGCCGAAAGGGCGUCUAGACCAUGCUUCUAGACGCUGCCCAAGGAUGGGGCCGCGACCGAUCAGGUUGUUGGUGAGGUAACGGCUCACCAAGCCUUUGACCGGUGCGGGCCGUGAGAGCGGGAGCCCGGAGAUGGGCACUGAGACAAGGGCCCAGGCCCUACGGGGCGCAGCAGUCGCGAAAACUCCGCAAUACACGAAAGUGUGACGGGGCCAUCCCGAGUGCCGUCCGCUGAGGACGGCUUUUCCCCAGUGUACACGGCUGGGGGAAUAAGGAGAGGGCAAGCCUGGUGUCAGCCGCCGCGGUAAUACCAGCUCUCCGAGUGGUGGGGACGCUUAUUGGGCCUAAAGCAUCCGUAGCCGGCUGGGCAAGUCCUCCGUUAAAUCCAACGAUUCAAUCGUUGGACUGCGGGGGAUACUGUCCAGCUUGGGGGCGGGAGAGGCCGACGGUAUUCCCGGGGUAGGGGUGAAAUCCUAUAAUCCCGGGAGGACCACCAGUGGCGAAGGCUGUCGGCUGGAACGCGCCCGACGGUGAGGGAUGAAAGCUGGGGGAGCGAACCGGAUUAGAUACCCGGGUAGUCCCAGCCGUAAACGAUGCAGGCUAGGUGUUAGAACGGCCACGAGCCGUUCUAGUGCCGCAGGGAAGCCGUUAAGCCUGCCGCCUGGGGAGUACGGCCGCAAGGCUG
rnacentral:rRNA from 1 species